rnacentral:ncRNA from 1 species
AAUAAAUUUUUAUAGUUUGUAUAAUUUAUUAUAAAUUUAUUUUACAUAUAAAUUUUAGUGUUAAAUUUUAAUUAUUUUAAUAAUAAUUAAUUAAUUAAGUAGUAAUUAAUAUUAAAUAUUUAAGAAAUUAAGAUUUAGUGAUAUAUAAAUUAAUAACUAAUUUUGUGCCAGCAGUUGCGGUUAAACAAAGAUUAAUAUAAAUUAUAUCAGUAUUUAAAUAAAUAAUAAAAAUUUAAAUUAAAUAUUAAAUUAUUAAGUGAAAUUUUAAUUUAAUUAAAUUUUAUAUUUAAAUUAUGAUUUAAUAAAUUUUAAAUUAAACUAGGAUUAGAUACCCUAUUAUUAAAAAUUUAAUAAAAAAUACUAAAAUAGUAAAUAAUAAUUUAUUGAAACUUAAAUAAUAUGGCGGUAUUUUAGUUCAUUUAGAGGAAUCUGUUUAAUAAUUGAUAAUCCACGAAUAAAUUUACUUAAUUUAAAAUUUUGUAUAUCGUUGUUAAAAAAAUAUUUUUUAAUAAAAAUAAUAUUUUAAUAUUUAUAAUAAAAAUUAAUUCAGAUCAAGAUGCAGAUUAUAAUUAAGAAUAUAAUGGAUUACAAUAAAUAUAUUUAAAUGGAUAAUAUUUUGUAAUUUUAAUUUGAAGGUGGAUUUAAAUGUAAUUUUAAUUAAUUUAUUAAAAUGAUUAAAAAUUAAAAUAUGUACAUAUUGCCCGUCACUUUCAUUUAAAAAUUGGAAUAAGUCGUAACAAAGUAGAGGUACUGGAAAGUGUUUCUAGAAUGAA